CUACUACUCCCUCCGUUCCAAAAUAGAUGACUCAAUUUUGUACUAACUUUGUACUAAAGUUAGUACAAAGUUGAGUCAUCUAUUUUGGAACGGAGGGAGUAUACU
rfam:Triticum urartu cultivar G1812 contig513554, whole genome shotgun sequence.